rnacentral:rRNA from 1 species
GAUGAACGCUGGCGGCGUGCCUAAUACAUGCAAGUCGAACGCUGGCGAUCUAGCUUGCUAGAUCGAAGGAGUGGCGAAAGGGUGCGUAAUACAUAAGCAACCUACCCACGAAGUCUGGGAUAAUCUCUGUAAACGGGGACUAAUACCGGAUAGGUAAUCGGAAGGCAUCUUCUGGUUAUUAAAGGUUAAAACACUGGUGUAUGGGCUUAUGUCGCAUUAGUUAGUUGGUGCGGGAACAGCCCACCAAGACGAUGAUGCGUAGCCGGGCUGAGAGGGUGAAAGGCCACAUUGGGAACGAGACACGGCCCAGAAUCCUACGGGAGGCAGCAGUAGGGAAUUGUCGGCAAUGGGGGCAAACCUGACCGAGCCACGCCGCGUGAGUGAAGACGGCCGUCGGGUUGUAAAGCUCUGUUGUAAGGGACGAACGGUAGAUAGAGAAUACCUAAGUGACGGUACCUUACCAGAAAGCCACGGCUAACUACGUG